GGUCCCAAAAUAUAUGUUAAGUGGAAAAGGAUGUGGCGUUGCCCAGACAACUAGGAUGUUGGCUUAGAAGCAGCCAUCAUUUAAAGAGUGCGUAAUAGCUCACUAGUCGAGUGACACUGCGCCGAAAAUGUACCGGGGCUAAACAUAUUACCGAAGCUGUGGAUUGUCCUUUGGACAAUGGUAGGAGAGCGUUCUAAGGGCGUUGAAGCAUGAUCGUAAGGACAUGUGGAGCGCUUAGAAGUGAGAAUGCCGGUGUGAGUAGCGAAAGACGGGUGAGAAUCCCGUCCACCGAUUGACUAAGGUUUCCAGAGGAAGGCUCGUCCGCUCUGGGUUAGUCGGGUCCUAAGCUGAGGCCGACAGGCGUAGGCGAUGGAUAACAGGUUGAUAUUCCUGUACCACCUAUAAUCGUUUUAAUCGAUGGGGGGACGCAGUAGGAUAGGCGAAGCGUGCGAUUGGAUUGCACGUCUAAGCAGUAAGGCUGAGUAUUAGGCAAAUCCGGUACUCGUUAAGGCUGAGCUGUGAUGGGGAGAAGACAUUGUGUCUUCGAGUCGUUGAUUUCACACUGCCGAGAAAAGCCUCUAGAUAGAAAAUAGGUGCCCGUACCGCAAACCGACACAGGUAGUCAAGAUGAGAAUUCUAAGGUGAGCGAGCGAACUCUCGUUAAGGAACUCGGCAAAAUGACCCCGUAACUUCGGGAGAAGGGGUGCUCUUUAGGGUUAACGCCCAGAAGAGCCGCAGUGAAUAGGCCCAAGCGACUGUUUAUCAAAAACACAGGUCUCUGCUAAACCGUAAGGUGAUGUAUAGGGGCUGACGCCUGCCCGGUGCUGGAAGGUUAAGAGGAGUGGUUAGCUUCUGCGAAGCUACGAAUCGAAGCCCCAGUAAACGGCGGCCGUAACUAUAACGGUCCUAAGGUAGCGAAAUUCCUUGUCGGGUAAGUUCCGACCCGCACGAAAGGCGUAACGAUUUGGGCACUGUCUCAACG
rnacentral:rRNA from 1 species